rfam:Asian citrus Psyllid, Diaphorina citri - Florida Strain, whole genome shotgun sequence.
AUCUUAAGGCCUCAAAAAACUAAUUCUCUUCAGUGGAUGGUAAUUGUCCUCACGAGGAUAAGUGUACCUCACCCCCACACCCGACUCGGCCACGGAGGUUGCUUCAAUUAAGCUUGAUUCACACUAUAGUGCUAGUCAAGGUCCAGUCACGGUCCGGUAACGGUCCGAUCAAAAGAUUGAGUAUAGCUUGAUUCACACUAUAGUGCCAGUCAAGGUCCAGUCACGGUCCGGUAUCGGUCCGAUCAAAUGAUUGUUGAAGGCAAGUAAAUGUGAGUGUACACACUAGACGUUCUAGUCAAGUUACGGUAACGGUCAGCUCACAGUCAAAAUUUGGAACAUUCUCGCGACGAAUCUUUUUGAUCGGACCGAAACUGGACCGUGACCGGAGCGAGACUGGCACUGUAGUGUGAAUAGGUAGCGAUCAAGCAACGAUCAACAUUCCUUCGUUCAGACCAACUAGAAAUGAAAGAAAAAUGACCGAAGCAUGACCGAAGCAUGAACGUUGCUUGAACGAUAGUGUGAAUACUCAAUCUUUUGAUCGGACCGUUACCGGACCGUGACUGGACCUUGACUGGCACUAUAGUGUGAAUCAGGCUUUACUGACCACGUAACCUCCGAGGUCUUUGACAUUUGGAAAUGGAAAUCGAGGAUCUGUGAGUGACUACAAAAUACAUUACAGCAUAUAACACAUUAUGUUAUGACAUAUGGUUUCAAGAAAUGUAUCGAGAUUUCACCUAAUCUACGCAGUAUUGAUAAAGGCGUUCAAAGUUCAUCUGGUUUCAAAAACUCUUCCAUGAGAUAGGUAGGUAGGUAGGUACUUAGGUAGGUAAGUGUACUGCAUAGGUACCUGCCUAUAUUGCAUAAGUAUUACUGAAGAUAAUCGUAGAAUCGAGUUGAAUCGGGUAUAAUAUUACAUAACUAUAAUAUUCAACUGAUGGCCGAAACGACCUCAACCUAUUCUCAAACUUUAAAUGGGUGAGAACCCCGGCUUGCUCGAGAUGUUUGAAGCCGCGGGCCUUGGAUCACUUGAGUGCCAAGUGGGCCAAUUUUGGUAAGCAGAACUGGCGCUGUGGGAUGAACCAAACGCCGAGCUACGGCGACUAAAUCGACGCUCAUUGGAGACCAGAAAAGGCGUUGGUUGCUACCGACAGCAGGGCGGUGGCCAUGGAAGUCGGACAUCCGCUAAGGAGUGUGUAACAACUCACCUGCCGAAGCAACUAGCCCUGAAAAUGGAUGCCGCUGAAGCGUCGUGCCUAUGCUCGGCCGUCAGUGGCAGAGUGGGCUGUCCGGUACGCGUACCGGCCCGGCAGACCCGGUAAGCCCUGACGAGUAGGAGGGCGCAGUGGUGUGCGCAGAAGGGACCGAGCCGUAAGGCCGCCUGGAGCCGCCACUGGUGCAGAUCUUGGUGGUAGUAGCAAAUACUCGAGUGAGAGCCCUGGAGGGCUGAUGUGGAGAAGGGUUCCUUGUGAACAGCCGUUGCACAAGGCUCAGUCGAUCCUAAGUCCUCGCCAAACAGCGAUGCUAUAAGCAGUGGUUCGUGUUGAUUUUGUGUUGUACUACUGGUCUACCAAUAACAGACAACGAAAAUUGUAACCGCCACGGACGAAAGGGGACGCGGUCCCCAUUCCGCUACCUGGACGCGGAACCGCUCUCAUGUUUCGUGGCCCUCGUCCGACGUGUCGCCGCUUCAACGCGCGCGCACGCUCGGCGUAGGCCUCGUCGGGGUAACCCGAAAAGACCCGGAGAAGCUGAGGGGAGCUCCGGGGAGAGUUAUCUUUUCUGUAUCAGCGUUGUAGCUGCCUGGAAUCCUCUAGCAGGGAGAUAGGGAGCCGAACGCGGAGAGCACCGCAGUUGCUGCUGUGUCCGGAGCCUCCCCCUCGGACCGUGAAAAUCCGGGAGAGGGCCACGCGAAGUCUCGCGCCAGGUCGUACUCAUAUCUGCAUCAGGUCUCCGAGGUGAAGAGCCUCUAGUCGUAUAGACUAAUGUAGGUAAGGGAAGUCGGCAAAAUCGAUCCGUAACUUCGGAAUAAGGAUUGGCUCUGAGGAACGUGGUCCGUCGGGCUUGGUCGGGAAGCGGGUUAGCGCCUACGAGCCGGGCCUGUGCGAGGUGAAGUCCGGUUGCCGCGCGGCUUUCGUGCGCGCGCGCGCCCGGGCGCCUUCGGGUGUCCGGUGUGCGUGUCGUGCGGAGUCGCCGGUCGGUUUCGGAUCCGAGCACGGUCCCGUGCCUAGGCACCCCGCGGAGCUUCCUCGCUGCGAGACCCCGGGUUCUGUUGGGCGCGGGGUUCACGCCCCGCGUUCGCACCGGGCGCUUCUCUUCGGCGGCCAUGUAACGGUCAGGUCAGAACUGGCACGGACAAGGGGAAUCCGACUGUCUAAUUAAAACAAAGCAUUGCGAUGGCCCCAAAGGGUGCCUGACGCAAUGUGAUUUCUGCCCAGUGCUCUGAAUGUCAACGUGAAGAAAUUCAAGCAAGCGCGGGUAAACGGUAGGAGUAACUAUGACU